rnacentral:rRNA from 1 species
AUUGAACGCUGGCGGCAGGCCUAACACAUGCCAGUCGAGCGGAUGAAGGGAGCUUGCUCCUGGAUUCAGCGGCGGACGGGUGAGUAAUGCCUAGGAAUCUGCCUGGUAGUGGGGGAUAACGUCCGGAAACGGGCGCUAAUACCGCAUACGUCCUGAGGGAGAAAGUGGGGGAUCUUCGGACCUCACGCUAUCAGAUGAGCCUAGGUCGGAUUAGCUAGUUGGUGGGGUAAAGGCCUACCAAGGCGACGAUCCGUAACUGGUCUGAGAGGAUGAUCAGUCACACUGGAACUGAGACACGGUCCAGACUCCUACGGGAGGCAGCAGUGGGGAAUAUUGGACAAUGGGCGAAAGCCUGAUCCAGCCAUGCCGCGUGUGUGAAGAAGGUCUUCGGAUUGUAAAGCACUUUAAGUUGGGAGGAAGGGCAGUAAGUUAAUACCUUGCUGUUUUGACGUUACCAACAGAAUAAGCACCGGCUAACUUCGCG